UGAAUGGCAAAACGAAAGCUCAACUGUCUCCUUAGAUUAAUCAAUGAAAUUGAUCUUUCCGUGCAGAAGCGGAAAUAUUUUUAUAAGACAAAAAGACCCUAUGGAGCUUCAAAUUUAAAUUACUUAUACUCCCUUAAAAAUAUAAUAAAUAAUUUAACAUAAAAUUUUAGGUUGGGGCGACCGCGGAGUAAACUACAACCUCCAAGAUUAAUUAAGAAAGACAUUUCAAAAUGAUAAAAUAACUAACAUACUUGAUCCAAUAUUUGAUCAACGAACCAAGUUACCCUAGGGAUAACAGCGCAAUCCCCUUAAAGAGUUCAUAUCGACAAGGGGGUUUACGACCUCGAUGUUGGAUCAGGGCCCCCAAAUGGUGCAGCAACUAUUAAAGGUUCGUUUGUUCAACGAUUAAAGCCCUACGUGAUCUGAGUU
rnacentral:rRNA from 1 species